CCAGUCAGGAACAGCCUAUGAAAUCAUUCAUUAUCUCUCUUUAGUGUCCUCUGCUCUUCUUGGCCGCAGCUGGGGAUCCUACAGGAAGCAGAGCCAAAGGUAAUGAAAGCCUCCAAGGAAGUGGCUACAAUUGUGGCUUCAAGGGCACCUCCUGCAUGGGGCUUCCACAGAUUGGGCAACCCACGUGGUGACGUGAGUAAAGGAUGUAAGAAGGAAAACAAAUCAGCGAGAAGAUACUGCCCCUUACCCCCGCUUAAAGAGGAGACACAGAUGCCCUGUGAACACCUACCAGUUGGCUGACACCUGGGGCUCAGAUAAGUCCUCUCUGGCCCUAGUUUCAUUUCUUUGAAUGAAACAGCUCUAUGAGAGCUCUCUUCAGAGUUUAUAUGUUCUCGACACUGUUCCUAGCCAGUGGCAAUGAAUAAAUCAACCUAUACUAAUUGAAAAUUAGCUGUGGGCAAACCACAGUAUGAAACACUCCUGGGCACCAUGGAGGAUUCCAGAAAGGCUUGGUCCUUGCCUCCCUAAAGCCUGGAAUAGAACUUGGCACAAUUACAUGAUGCUGGAAUGCAGUGGCACGAUUACAGCUCACCUUGACCUCCUGGGCUCCAGCAAUCCUCCAACCUCCACCUUCAAGUAGCUGGGACUACAGGCACAUGCCACCAUGCCUGGCUAAUUUUUAAAUUUUUUUGUGGAAAUGGGGUCUCACUAUGUUGUCUAGGCUGGUCUUGAACUUUUGGGCUCAAGCGAUCCUCCCACCUUGGCCUCCCAAAGUGCUGGGAUUGCAGGUGUAAGCCAAUACACUGGGCCAGCAACUCGUUCUUAAAGGGAAUUUGUUUACAAUUUCCCUAUUAUGUAUAACAUCACUCUAGAUUUUUGGCAUAUAAACUUUAUCAAGUUAAGGAAGUUUCCUUCUAGUCCUAAGUUUCUAAGAGUUAUUUUUCUUAAAUUACAAAUAGAUGUUGGACUUUAUCAAAUGUUUAGAUAUUUGAUUGAGAUACUUUAAUAAUUUUUCUCCUAAAGUUUAUCAAUGUGGUGAAUUAUAUUGAUAGGUUUUCUAAGAAUAAACCAUCCUUGCAUUCCUGGGAUAAAUCUUACAUAUUAUAAUAUAUUAUUAUUAUAUCAUGAUGUAUUAGUCCUUAAUAUACUAUUGAAUUCAGCAAGCAAAUAUUUUGUUCAGGAUUUUUGAAUCGAUGUUCACAAAUUAGAUGGCCUAUAAUUUUCUUUUCUUAUAUUGACCUUAUUUAGUUUUAGAAUCAAGUUUACAUGAUUGGCUCUUUAAAGUAAUUUAAAUUAAAUGCAGAAAUCUGUCUUUUAAUUGGUGAGUUUAAUCUUCUUAAAUUCAUUAUCAUUACUGAGCUAGUUGAACCUAUCCUGCCAACUUAUUCCUGUUUUCCAUUCAUUGUAAUUUUUAAAUACAUCCUUCCUGUUUUUCACAGAAAGAUUCAGUUUCUCUCAGAAUGCUCAAAAGUUAAAUGUUUAAAAUUUAAAAGCUAAACUUUGAAACAUUAAAAGUUAAACAGAAUGUUUAACACAUCAUUUAUGAAAAAGUUAAACAGAAUGUUUAAAAGUUUAACUUUUGUUUUAUUUUUUGUUAUAAAAAAAUUUUUUUUUGUAAUAAGAACAAAAGUGGCAGUUGCCUCCUACUUCAGAUCCACUUUUAUGUUUAUUUGUCCUUCAGAUCCACUUUUAUGUUUAUUUGUCCCUAUUGAUUUCUUAAAUUUAUUGAUAGCUAUAUUUUCUCCUUAGAAAACGAAAGCAUUAGUGCAUUUUGAUUUCUCUUUGAUCUCCUUAAGGGCCACAUUUUGGAAAAUUAAAUAUAAUAUAAAUGGUGUUCUCUGGACUUGUGUAAUCAUGUUAUUUUAAAGAUAUUUUGUUUUGUGUUGUUAUGGAUGAAUUUUCUCCUUUUCCCAGCUUUAAGAAAAUUCCUAUAAUAAACUUUACCCAGUAUUUGA
rnacentral:lncRNA from 1 species